rnacentral:misc_RNA from 1 species
GGGAGGCGUACAACGUGCUGAGCCGGGAGGAGUCGCGGCGGUUCUACGACUGGACGCUGGCGCAGGAGGCCGAGAGCCGGCGCCUCCAGCAGCUGCGGUCCAGGCUCGAGGACCCCUACCAGCAGGACCUCGACAGCUACCAGUCCGUCCCCGACAUGGUCGACCGCCUCGGCGGCCGCAACAUGGACCUCAGCGACCAGGCCAUGACCGCGCUCACCAUCGACAUCGGCAUCAUCAUCUUCUGCGUCUUCUGCCUCAUCUACGCCGUCUUCUUCAAGGAGCAGUACUAGAUUAUUCAUUCAUGCCAGGAAGAAGAAAUUUUCAGGUACAUAU